AUUCUCGCUUAUCAUCAGGUUAGGGUUGGGGCAGCUUCCAGAUUCUGGAAGAUUCCACAUUCCAUAUUAUGGACAGUUCCGAUAUGGAAGUGCAGAAUUUGGAAGCCUUCCAUAUUCCUGCCUGUUGAGUUGAAAUGAGGAAUCGCUUGUAGGUGAAAAUAUGGAAUCUUCCACAUUCUCACCUGUUACCUGAGAAGGUCAACUUUUUCACUUCCUGUGUCAACAGGAAGUAGCAGCAACGAGGAUAUAGCAGAACCAAGUGGGGAAGAGCAAGUCUGGCAGCUGCCAAGCACGGUCCAAGUGGUGACAGUAACAAAUGCAGGCAGGACAUCUGCUGUUGAUGUGGCGUGAAGAUGCUCAAAGAUAUCUCUGGAUCCAGCAGCUCAUCCAUACUCAAACAUCCCGUGGGCUUUCAAACCAGCAGCCCAUCGUGCACAGACCAACAAAGCGAGGGCGAUUGGUGCCCCCCCCC